UCCAGCGCACUCACCUAUCCACUAAACAGCAACUUCAAUGUUGAAAGAUUUUAUUAGUUGUGGCAGGCUUAUGCAAUGUAUGAUCAUAUAAUGUAACUAAACCCCCAUUAUUUUUGCCUAGAUUAGGUGUUUUUAAAAAAGCUAAUAAAAUCUUUCAACAUUGAAGUUGCUGUUUAGUGGAUAGGUGAGUGCGCUGGA